UUGAUCACGUGGUGCUGAUAAAGUGACACUGCUUUGAAUUAUACUUAGCAACUUCAGUACAUGCCUCAUAGCUCCCGUCUCAAACUGAACCCCGUUCCUGCUGAAGAAGAAGAAGAAGAAGAAGGUCUGCUGGAUGGAGAAAGAAGCUCUCGUGAAAGAGGAGGAGGAAGAGGAGGCUGUUACAAUACAAAAAGAAGUCGAGGUUGAGGCUGUUCCCGUGAAAGAAGAGGAGAAAGACGCCUCAGUUAAAGAAGAGGAAGACUCGUUCAGAGUUAAAGAGGUCGGCGACGACGUUUCAGUGAAAGAAGAGGAGGGGGAGGUGACUGUCACAUCGAACAAUGAAGAAGAGGAGGAAACUGGAUAUCUGGGCCCGGUUUCCCAAACGCAUCUUAAGGCAUCCGAUGGUUCUAACGAUGAACUGGCCCUGAUUAACACUACUAUUUUCACUGCCUCCACAUAGGACACCUGCUGGAUAGGCCUGAUCAUCCUAGCUACUGUGACAUCCUUCAUCUGUACAGGGCACUUCGGGAAGGUUUUUAAAAAAGAUGGGAGAACCACUUCACCAAACCACAGAGAGAGACGGGACUAUUGUGGAUCCUCUGGGGGGCCUCAACAACAUCAUGAUGAUGCUGAUGAAGAAGGGAAGAGUCCCUCCACGUCAAAACACCUCAAGAAACACCAGCAGAGACCCACAGGGAAGAAAUCUCAUUGCUGCUCUGACUGUGGGAAAGGUUUCAAAUCUUCAUCAGAACUUAAAGUACACCAGAGAACACACACAGGAGAGAAACCUUAUAGCUGUGAUCAAUGUGGCAGGAGUUUUACUACAUCUAGUGGUCUGACAGUACACCAAAGAACACACACAGAAGAGAAACCUUAUAGCUGUGGUCAAUGUGGGAGGGGUUUUACUACAUCUAGUGGUCUGACAGUACACCAAAGAACACACACAGAAGAUAAACCUUAUACCUGUGAUCAAUGUGGGAUGAGUUUUACUGCAUCAAGCAAUCUGAUAAGACACCAGAGAACACACACAGGAGAGAAGCCUUAUAGCUGUGAGCAAUGUGGGAAGAGUUUUCCUACAUCUAGCCAGCUGACUUCACACCAGAGAACACACACUGGAGAGAAACCUUUUUUCUGUGAUCAAUGUGGGAUGAGUUUUACUGGAUCAAGCAAUCUGAUUCGACACCAGAGAACACACACAGGAGAGAAGCCUUAUAGCUGUGAUCAAUGUGGGAAGAGUUUUUCUACAUCUAGCCAGAUGACUUCACACCAGAGAACACACACAGGAGAGAAACCUCAUAGCUGUGAUAAAUGUGACAAGAGAUACUCUGAUAAACGAUCUCUGAUCAAACAUCAGAAAAUACAUACAUGAAGAAGUUGUUUCAUGAUAUCAAUGGAAUAAUGUCACAAUGUAGAAUGUUUUAACACUGUAAUAGGAGUAUUUUUAACGAGGUCACAAUGUAGAAUGUUUUAACAUUGUUGUAGGAGUAUUUUAACAAUGUUCUACCUUAUCGUUUGCCCUGUUCAAUUGAUUGCAGCAUGAUAUGGAUAUUGGCCUCAGGGGAAAAUCCAAAAAGUGACUAACAAAAAAAGAGCUGUGUUACACUUACUGCGUUGGUGACCCACUUUAAUCAAAAUGCAGCACUUCAAAAUGUAGCUAGCUGUUUUUCGACAAGUUGAAAAAGCUGCUUGUUUAAUUAAAAAACAUGUAAUAUGAUAAUUGUUGCAGAUGUUUGUGUAUUUACACACACAUGAAAGCAGUAUAAUUGUUAAUAAAGUUGAUUAUAGACCAAUCUGA